ACCUUAGUUGCCAGCAUUCAGUUGGCACUCUAAGGUGACUGCCGGCUAAAAAGUCGGAGGAAGGUGGGAUGACGUCAAAUCAUCAUGCCCUUAUGACCUGGGCUACACACGUGCUACAAUGGGCGGUACAAAGGGUCGCGAACCCGCGAGGGGGAGCCAAUCCCAAAAAGCCGCUCUCAGUUCGGAUUGCAGGCUGCAACUCGCCUGCAUGAAGCCGGAAUCGCUAGUAAUCGCGGAUCAGCAUGCCGCGGUGAAUACGUUCCCGGGCCUU
rnacentral:rRNA from 1 species